rnacentral:sRNA from 1 species
GCUGGGCGUGGUGGCCCACGUCUGCAAUCCCUUUACUUGGGAGGUUGGGGCAGGAGGGUCACAAGUUCAAAGCCAGCCUGUGAAACUUAGUGAGACCCUGUCCUAA